UACGUAGGGUGCACGCGUUGUCCGGAAUUAUUGGGCGUAAAGAGCUUGUAGGCGGUUUGUCGCGUCUGCUGUGAAAUUUCGGGGCUCAACCCCGAACUUGCAGUGGGUACGGGCAGACUAGAGUGUGGUAGGGGAGACUGGAAUUCCUGGUGUAGCGGUGAAAUGCGCAGAUAUCAGGAGGAACGCCGAUGGCGAAGGCAGGUCUCUGGGCCACUACUGACGCUGAGAAGCGAAAGCAUGGGGAGCGAACAGG
rnacentral:rRNA from 1 species